GCCGCUUUUCUUUUCCUCUCCCGGACAUGCCUCCCCGGACAGCUGAGCGCUCGCACGCGCACUCCGAUCGGCCGGAGCGGCGCGCGAAUGUCGCCAACGACGCGCGAGAUUGACGAGCGCUGGGCUGCGGGUUGGAGUGAACGGCGGGCUGCACAAAGUUAUCCGUUCGUAGCCUCGCACCAGCGAGGGGCGGGAUCGUAGCGAACGCCACUUGA
rnacentral:misc_RNA from 1 species